rnacentral:rRNA from 1 species
GAUAAACGCUGGCGGCGUGCCUAACACAUGCAAGUCGAACGCCCUCUCGGGCAACUGAGAGGGAGUGGCGGACGGGUGAGCAACACGUGGGUACCUACCCCCAAGUGAGGAAUACCGGCGAGAAAUCGCCGACAAUACCGCAUAGGCUUCUCGGCAACGGGAAGCAAAGCUCGGCAACGGGCGCUUGAGGAUGGGCCUGCGGCUGAUUAGCUGGUUGGUGGGGUAAUGGCCUACCAAGGCUGCGAUCAGUAGCUGGUCUGAGAGGACGAUCAGCCAC